GGGGAUGUAAAGGUUUCGACGGGGAUCGUGAAGUACAGGCAGCGGGUAGAGGAGCAUGCACCUCUUAAAAAGUAUGACGUUUUCAAAAUUAAACGACAACAAUAAUUUUGCUUUUGCAGCUUAAUUAAGCUGCCGUCUGCCCGGGGAGGACCACGGCCCCGGAUCAGGCGUCGAUAAGUGGUGAACGGCCCGCCUGAGCGGCCUCGUAGGGCGGGAUUGUAUCAGGGGAUACCAAACCGGAAAGCCUGUCGGGCGGCGUUCCGGUGAGGGAAUCUGAAAAGACCGACUGCACCCGGAGAAGCUUGUAGGGAUUGGUUUUCGGACGCGGGUUCAAUUCCCGCCAUCUCCACCA
rfam:Anaerotruncus sp. G3(2012) genomic scaffold acPFl-supercont1.2, whole genome shotgun sequence.